UACGUAGGGGGCAAGCGUUGUCCGGAAUCAUUGGGCGUAAAGAGCGUGUAGGCGGCCCGAUAAGUCCGCUGUGAAAGUUCAGGGCUCAACCCUGGGAUGCCGGUGGAUACUGUCGGGCUCGAGUCCGGAAGAGGAGUGUGGAAUUCCUGGUGUAGCGGUGAAAUGCGCAGAUAUCAGGAGGAACACCAAUGGCGAAGGCAGCACUCUGGGACGUGACUGACGCUGAGACGCGAAAGCGUGGGGAGCAAACAGG
rnacentral:rRNA from 1 species